rnacentral:tRNA from 1 species
UAGAGAAAACUUUCUUUCUCGCGCCCACACUUAUCGGCUGUGCAUUGAACGUGCAUGCCGAGAACUAGAAACGACCUAGAUGCAGGGUCUGUAGCUCAGUUGGUUAGAGCACACGCUUGAUAAGCGUGGGGUCGGUGGUUCAAGUCCACCCAGACCCACCACCAACGGGGCCAUAGCUCAGCUGGGAGAGCGCCCGCUUUGCAAGCAGGAGGUCACCGGUUCGAUCCCGGUUGGCUCCACCAGUACUCCAGGAACUUAGUGCCAAGCGAAGUCUGGCUUUGCUUCGCCGUAAGUUUUGAUUCGGCUGCUCUUUAACAAUUUGGAAGAAGUGAAGCGAAUCCGGUUUUCUCAAGGCCGGAUUCGUCUGGGUAGUGAUUGCAUUAAAACGAGCAAAGGGGAUUUGUCUCCCCGAUGCUUAACCAAGCGCUUCCUAUGAUUCCUGGUUCGUACCAACACUGCGCCGAGCGGUGCUCAGGGUUAUAG